GCGCUCACUCCAUCCUGCCGCCCUGUGAAGAAGGUACCUGCUCUUCCUUUGCCUUCCACCAUGACUUGUUCUAGCAGAGAACAGACUAAUACACCAGGCAGAACGAAUCUACAAUAAUGAAGUCAGGAUAGUGAACUUGGCAUUUUAUGGCAUUUCUUGCAAAUAAUUGUAAUUGCUGCCAAAAUAUGAGAGAUUCCAGGAAGAAGUGAAUAUGGAGACUGUUGCCAUCUGUCUAAUACGCCCGGCUGUCUGGUUCAAGAAAUGGAGAUAAUGAAGCGAGGAGAAGCAUAUUUGAUCAGUGACAUUAAAUAAAAAACUCAAUUCAAAAA
rnacentral:lncRNA from 10 species